UAACUGAUUUCUGAGGAAUUGAUAAAGCAGAGAAACACUCAAAAAGCAGAGAAACACCCAAGAGAAAAAGGAUUUAGCAAAAGCCAUGUUAUCUUCCCUUACUGAAGUCCGUCCUAAGACGGAGACAAGCCAUUAAGAGAACGAACGAACGCCCUGACACAAGCCGAUGCGUCACCACGAAACAGACAAGCCCACGCGAAUGAUGCGAAUUUGCACGGAAAAUAUGUGUAUUGAUGGAGUACCAUGAAAGACAAAGGGCUCCAACAGAGAUGGCAAAAGGUUGGAGUGUUGAAUGAGGCCGCACGUGCCAUAGGAACGGAGAUAAUUGCUUGUUUAAACUCGAGUGACCUCGUGCCUGACCCGACGAGUGAACUGUUAGAAAAGCAAUUCACAAAGCAGAAACCAGCUUGGAGUUGUGUACAAGAACAAAACCACUCUCCAGAAAAGAAUGUAAAACAGAUCUAACAGAUCUCCCCCAUUCAUAAUGAGGUCGUAUGUGCCAUAGGAACGGAGAUAAUUGCUUGCUAAAACUCGAGUGGCCUUGUGCCUGAUUCGAUGAAUAAAUUGUUAGUGAAGCAAUUAACAAAGCGGAAACCAGCCUAAAGCCGUGUACCGGAACAAAACCAUUCUACAGAAAAGAAUGUAAAACAAAUCUUAAAUGAUUGUAAUAAACGGAGAAGUUAUUCUGUCAGGUUAUGUUCGGGUGGUUAAGAUUAUGGGUUAUGAGACGACGGGUUAAGGUUGUUAUAAGAGAUGGGGUUGAUAAUAAAACGACAUGAGAGUUAUGAAUAAAGGGUUUUUUUUGUUUAGUGGAGAAGGUGGUUAGUAAAUAUGGUAUUAUGUGGAGAUUGAAACAGUUAAAAUCGGAAGCUUGUUGCGAGUGUUGUGUAGCGGAUGUGAAGAGGUGAUGGCGGCAUUAAUAAAAUCUGAUAAAGGGGGAUAAUGUGAGUGUGAACAGAAUGAUAAGCAGGGAUAUUGUGAAAAGACUGUGUAGUGUUUAUGGGAAAGUGUGUUGUGUGUAGGGUGGGAAAGUAAUGUGUAGGAUAAGAGAAAGAAAAGUGUUUGGAUUGUAGGGAGGAAAUGGUGAGCGGUAAUGGGGAGGGUGAGGUAUGUGUGGAGGUAUGUAUCUAAUGAAGUGUGUAAAUGGUAUGACUGACAGGCGAAAUUAAACAACAAUAGAGACCGAAUGAGUGUUGCGAAAACGCCGAGAAAAGAUAAAAAAUACUGUAGCGGUGAAAGGGUGUAUUGCGGACAAUGGAAAUUGAUGCUAGUAAAACGGCGAGAAGAAGAUGAAGUAGGGGCGCGGGAGGCGACAAAGGGAGCGCGGUGAGAGUGGAGAUGACGCUGAAACGUUAACAAGACAGGAAGGAUAGUUUUCUCCAGAUGAAGCGAUAAUCGGUGGUGAGAGAUAAGGGUAAAAGGCAAAGGCACGAAGAAAACAACCGGCAUGUAUAUGCAAAAUGGACAUAACAAAAUAAACCAAUAAGACAAAA